GCUGAGGCCCCAGGAUGGGACCGCGGCCUAUCAGGUAGUAGGUGGGGUAACGGCCCACCUAGCCUACGACGGGUACGGGCCCUGAGAGGGGGAGCCCGGAGAUGGGCACUGAGACAAGGGUCUAGGCCCUAAGGGGCGCAGCAGGCGCGAAGAUUCCGCAAUGCCCGAAAGGGCGACGGAGUGAACCCGAGUGCCACCCGCUGAGGGUGGCUGUUCCCCUGUGUAAAAAGCAGGGGGCAGGAAGGGGAGGGCAAGGCUGAUGGCAGCCGCCGCGGUAAAACCAGCUCCCCGAGGGGUUCCCACGCAUACUGGGCCUAAAGCGUCCGUAGCCGGCCCUGUAAGUCUGCAGUUAAAUCCGCCUGUAGACAGGCGGGUUGCUGCAGAUACUGCAGGGCUAGGGAGCGGGAGGAGCCGGGGGUAUUCCCGGGGGAGCGGUAAAAUGCGUAGAUCCCGGGAGGACCACCAGUGGCGAAGGCGCCCGGCUUGAACGCGUCCGACGGUGAGGGACGAAAGCUGGGGGAGCAAACCGGAUUAGAUACCCGGGUAGUCCCAGCCGUAAACGAUGCCGGCUAGGUGCUGGCCAAGGUUUCGGCCUUGGCCAGUGUCGAAGCGAAGGCAUUAAGCCGGCCGCCUGAGGAGUACGGCCGCAAGGCUGAAACUUGAAGGAAUUGACGGGGGGGCACCACAAGGGGUGAAUGCCUGCGGCUUAAUUGGACUCAACGCCGGGAAUCUUACCGGGGGCGACAGCAAGAUGAAGGUCAGGCUGAAGACCUUACCAGACGCGCUGAGGGGUGGUGCAUGGCCGUCGCCAGCUCGUGCCGUGAGGUGUCCUGUUAAGUCAGGCAACGAGCGAGACCCCCGCCCCUAGUUUCCAGCGGCCUCCUUCGGGAGGGACCGGGCAAACUAGGGGGACCGCCUCCGAAGAGGAGGAGGAAGGUGGGGGCUACGGCAGGUCAGUAUGCCCCAUAAUCCCCGCGGGCCGCAGCGAGGGCUGCAAUGGGCGGGACAGGCGGGAUG
rnacentral:rRNA from 1 species